rnacentral:rRNA from 1 species
GUAUCACCUCCAAUGUUAGAAAUUGAGAUUCUCGCCCAAAAGCAUGAAGCGGAGGGCUUUGAUGAGAAGCAGGGCCAGAGGCCUGUAUCAUUGCAUGAAACAAAGGAGGCGGUGAAUAACACUGCAUAUCCAGCAUGGAUUCUGACUUAGAGGCGUUCAGUCAUAAUCCAACGGAUGGUAGCGUCGCGGCACUAGCUUUUCAGCUAGCCGCAUUUACCAAGUAUCCGACCCAACUGUUCCUC